CAACAACUUUCAACAGAUGAAAUGUGGCUGAAAUGGGGAAUGGUGGCACUAUACCUUCUAACUUUAACAAAUUCUUCAUUUUCGAAUGAUAUUUUAGAGAUACAAACUGAUAAGCUUACAAACAGUGUUGAAAAUAAUAUGGAAACAAUGGCUAAAAACUUGGAAUCAUCACUUGGAGUUAGUAAACUAAAAAAUCAACAUAUUAAUGAUGAUUGGGCAAGUCUUGGAUUUCAUAUUAAAUUAUUGAUGGGAAAGGAAUUGAAGGAAAAUCCAGACCGUAAUUAUUUUAUUUUUCAUUAUUUGAGUAAAAAUCGUUUUCAUCGUUCAGCCAACAAACUCAAGGAGCGCUCUUUUAACAGAGCUGUUCCACAUAAUUGAGGCCACAAACAAAAACAUAAAAAAUAAUCGACAGGAUGUAAAGGACAAGGUAGUUAGCCAUAAGUCUGACUUGAUUUUAAGCAAAAAAAUAAAAGCUGUACUAUUUUAGUCCUCAUUGGAGGGAAACCAGCGUGACAAAACUGUUUUUAAAAUCAAACCCGCCGAAAACACCUACAUACAAUUUAAUUACAACCGACAAAAUGGAAAAAAUCCAACUGCUUCUAGUGGAAAUAAAAAAAAGGAACCUCAAUACUUUCUGAAUUUCGAAUUCAACAACUACCAAAAUCCGAAAACAGCAAAGGAUCGGCAAGCACUUUCCAAUAAAGUUAAAAUGCGACGAACCAGAAAACGAUUGCUUCCAAAUGGAAUGCCAAAUCCAUACAAUUAUUUUCCAUUAAAAGGAGAAGACAUGUAGUCUAAAUGUUUACUCAUAAGUAUUAAAAAUAAUUUGGGACUUUUUAUUCAUUCAUGAAAGAUUACCUGGAAUAAACCAUAUGAUAAGAAUAA